GCGACCCCAGGAUGGGCGAGNCCACC
rnacentral:rRNA from 1 species